rnacentral:rRNA from 1 species
AUUGAACGCUGGCGGCAGGCCUAACACAUGCAAGUCGAACGGUAACAGGAAGAAGCUUGCUUCUUUGCUGACGAGUGGCGGACGGGUGAGUAAUGUCUGGGACACUGCCUGAUGGAGGGGGAUAACUACUGGAAACGGUAGCUAAUACCGCAUAACGUCGCAGGACCAAAGAGGGGGACCUUCGGGCCUCUUGCCAUCGGAUGUGCCCAGAUGGGAUUAGCUAGUAGGUGGGGUAACGGCUCACCUAGGCGACGAUCCCUAGCUGGUCUGAGAGGAUGACCAGCCACACUGGAACUGAGACACGGUCCAGACUCCUACGGGAGGCAGCAGUGGGGAAUAUUGCACAAUGGGCGCAAGCCUGAUGCAGCCAUGCCGCGUGUAUGAAGAAGGCCUUCGGGUUGUAAAGUACUUUCAGCGGGGAGGAAGGGAGUAAAGUUAAUACCUUUGCUCAUUGACGUUACCCGCAGAAGAAGCACCGGCUAACUCCGUG